rnacentral:rRNA from 1 species
UACGGAGGAUCCAAGCGUUAUCCGGAAUCAUUGGGUUUAAAGGGUCCGUAGGCGGUUUGGUAAGUCAGUGGUGAAAGCCCAUCGCUCAACGGUGGAACGGCCAUUGAUACUGCCAGACUUGAAUUACUGGGAAGUAACUAGAAUAUGUAGUGUAGCGGUGAAAUGCUUAGAGAUUACAUGGAAUACCAAUUGCGAAGGCAGGUUACUACCAGUGGAUUGACGCUGAUGGACGAAAGCGUGGGUAGCGAACAGGAUUAGAUACCCUGGUAGUCCACGCCGUAAACGAUGGAUACUAGCUGUUGGGAGUAAUCUCAGUGGCUAAGCGAAAGUGAUAAGUAUCCCACCUGGGGAGUACGAACGCAAGUUUGAA